AACGCACGUCAGAUAAUCAGAGAAAUUCAAGAAGAGAAAAGGUUGUAAAUAUGAAAAACGUUAUCAUAUUUGUAUGUGUUGUUGCGCUUUG
rnacentral:ribozyme from 1 species